rnacentral:rRNA from 1 species
CCUACGGGAGGCAGCAGUGAGGAAUAUUGGUCAAUGGGCGGAAGCCUGAACCAGCCAAGUCGCGUGAGGGAUUAAUGCCCUGCGGGUCGUAAACCUCUUUUGCCGGGGAGCAGAGGUCCGGACGUGUCCGGGCCGGGAGGGUACCCGGAGAAAAAGCAUCGGGAAACUCCGUGCCGGCAGCCGCGGUAAUCCGGGGGAUGCGAGCGUUAUCCGGAUUUAUUGGGUUUAAAGGGUGCGUAGGCGGGCAUUUAAGCCGGCGGUCAAAUGUCGGGGCUCAACCCCAGCCUGCCGUCGGAACUGGGUGCCUUGAGUGGGCGAGAAGUAUGCGGAAUGCGUGGUGUAGCGGUGAAAUGCAUAGAUAUCACGCAGAACCCCGAUUGCGAAGGCAGCAUACCGGCGCCCUACUGACGCUGAGGCACGAAAGUGCGGGUAUCGAACAGGAUUAGAUACCCUUGUAGUC